GACGAACGCUGGCGGCGUGCUUAACACAUGCAAGUCGAACGGAAAGGCCCUGCUUUUGUGGGGUGCUCGAGUGGCGAACGGGUGAGUAACACGUGGGUAACCUGCCCUUGACUUUGGGAUAACUUCAGGAAACUGGGGCUAAUACCGGAUAGGAGCUCCUGCUGCAUGGUGGGGGUUGGAAUGUUUCGGCGGUUGGGGAUGGACUCGCGGCUUAUCAGCUUGUUGGUGGGGUAGUGGCUUACCAAGGCUUUGACGGGUAGCCGGCCUGAGAGGGUGACCGGCCACAUUGGGACUGAGAUACGGCCCAGACUCCUACGGGAGGCAGCAGUGGGGAAUAUUGCACAAUGGGCGGAAGCCUGAUGCAGCAACGCCGCGUGCGGGAUGACGGCCUUCGGGUUGUAAACCGCUUUCGCCUGUGACGAAGCGUGAGUGACGGUAAUGGGUAAAGAAGCACCGGCUAACUACGUG
rnacentral:rRNA from 1 species